rnacentral:rRNA from 1 species
AGCGAACCGGGGGAACUGAAACAUCUAAGUACCCCGAGGAAAAGAAAUCAACCGAGAUUCCCCCAGUAGCGGCGAGCGAACGGGGAGCAGCCCAGAGUCUGAAUCAGCAUGUGUGUUAGUGGAAGCGUCUGGAAAGUCGCACGAUACAGGGUGAAAGUCCCGUACACCAAAAUGCAUAUGCUGUGAGCUCGAUGAGUAGGGCGGGACACGUGGUAUCCUGUCUGAAUAUGGGGGGACCAUCCUCCAAGGCUAAAUACUCCUGACUGACCGAUAGUGAACCAGUACCGUGAGGGAAAGGCGAAAAGAACCCCGGCGAGGGGAGUGAAAAAGAACCUGAAACCGUGUACGUACAAGCAGUGGGAGCCUCUUUUAUGGGGUGACUGCGUACCUUUUGUAUAAUGGGUCAGCGACUUAUAUUCUGUAGCAAGGUUAACCGAAUAGGGGAGCCGAAGGGAAACCGAGUCUUAACUGGGCGUUAAGUUGCAGGGUAUAGACCCGAAACCCGGUGAUCUAGCCAUGGGCAGGUUGAAGGUUGGGUAACACUAACUGGAGGACCGAACCGACUAAUGUUGAAAAAUUAGCGGAUGACUUGUGGCUGGGGGUGAAAGGCCAAUCAAACCGGGAGAUAGCUGGUUCUCCCCGAAAGCUAUUUAGGUAGCGCCUCGUGAAUUCAUCUCCGGGGGUAGAGCACUGUUUCGGCAAGGGGGUCAUCCCGACUUACCAACCCGAUGCAAACUGCGAAUACCGGAGAAUGUUAUCACGGGAGACACACGGCGGGUGCUAACGUCCGUCGUGAAGAGGGAAACAACCCAGACCGCCAGCUAAGGUCCCAAAGUCAUGGUUAAGUGGGAAACGAUGUGGGAAGGCCCAGACAGCCAGGAUGUUGGCUUAGAAGCAGCCAUCAUUUAAAGAAAGCGUAAUAGCUCACUGGUCGAGUCGGCCUGCGCGGAAGAUGUAACGGGGCUAAACCAUGCACCGAAGCUGCGGCAGCGACGCUUAUGCGUUGUUGGGUAGGGGAGCGUUCUGUAAGCCUGCGAAGGUGUGCUGUGAGGCAUGCUGGAGGUAUCAGAAGUGCGAAUGCUGACAUAAGUAACGAUAAAGCGGGUGAAAAGCCCGCUCGCCGGAAGACCAAGGGUUCCUGUCCAACGUUAAUCGGGGCAGGGUGAGUCGACCCCUAAGGCGAGGCCGAAAGGCGUAGUCGAUGGGAAACAGGUUAAUAUUCCUGUACUUGGUGUUACUGCGAAGGGGGGACGGAGAAGGCUAUGUUGGCCGGGCGACGGUUGUCCCGGUUUAAGCGUGUAGGCUGGUUUUCCAGGCAAAUCCGGAAAAUCAAGGCUGAGGCGUGAUGACGAGGCACUACGGUGCUGAAGCAACAAAUGCCCUGCUUCCAGGAAAAGCCUCUAAGCAUCAGGUAACAUCAAAUCGUACCCCAAACCGACACAGGUGGUCAGGUAGAGAAUACCAAGGCGCUUGAGAGAACUCGGGUGAAGGAACUAGGCAAAAUGGUGCCGUAACUUCGGGAGAAGGCACGCUGAUAUGUAGGUGAAGUCCCUUGCGGAUGGAGCUGAAAUCAGUCGAAGAUACCAGCUGGCUGCAACUGUUUAUUAAAAACACAGCACUGUGCAAACACGAAAGUGGACGUAUACGGUGUGACGCCUGCCCGGUGCCGGAAGGUUAAUUGAUGGGGUCAGCGCAAGCGAAGCUCUUGAUCGAAGCCCCGGUAAACGGCGGCCGUAACUAUAACGGUCCUAAGGUAGCGAAAUUCCUUGUCGGGUAAGUUCCGACCUGCACGAAUGGCGUAAUGAUGGCCAGGCUGUCUCCACCCGAGACUCAGUGAAAUUGAACUCGCUGUGAAGAUGCAGUGUACCCGCGGCAAGACGGAAAGACCCCGUGAACCUUUACUAUAGCUUGACACUGAACAUUGAGCCUUGAUG